rnacentral:rRNA from 1 species
AACGACUGUCGGCAACGGAUAUGUCGGCUCUCGCAUCGAUGAAGAACGUAGCGAAAUGCGAUACUUGGUGUGAAUUGCAGAAUCCCGUGAACCAUCGAGUUUUUGAACGCAAGUUGCGCCCGAAGCCAUCAGGUUGAGGGCACGUC